rnacentral:rRNA from 1 species
AUGAACGCUGGCGGCGUGCUUAACACAUGCAAGUCGAACGAUUAAGACGGCUUCGGCCGUGUAUAGAGUGGCGAACGGGUGAGUAACACGUGACCAACCUGCCCCGCGCUCCGGGACAACCGCUGGAAACGGCGGCUAAUACCGGAUGCUCCGGGGAGGCCCCAUGGCCUCCCCGGGAAAGCCCUGACGGCGCGGGAUGGGGUCGCGGCCCAUUAGGUAGACGGCGGGGUAACGGCCCACCGUGCCCGCGAUGGGUAGCCGGACUGAGAGGUCGACCGGCCACAUUGGGACUGAGAUACGGCCCAGACUCCUACGGGAGGCAGCAGUGGGGAAUUUUGCGCAAUGGGGGGAACCCUGACGCAGCAACGCCGCGUGCGGGACGAAGGCCUUCGGGUUGUAAACCGCUUUCAGCAGGGAAGACAUAGACGGUACCUGCAGAAGAAGCUCCGGCUAACUACGUGCCAGCAGCCGCGGUAAUACGUAGGGGGCGAGCGUUAUCCGGAUUCAUUGGGCGUAAAGCGCGCGUAGGCGGCCGCCUAAGCGGAACCUCUAAUCCCGGGGCUCAACCUCGGGCCGGGUUCCGGACUGGGCGGCUCGAGUGCGGUAGAGGCAGGCGGAAUUCCCGGUGUAGCGGUGGAAUGCGCAGAUAUCGGGAAGAACACCGAUGGCGAAGGCAGCCUGCUGGGCCGCCACUGACGCUGAGGCGCGAAAGCUGGGGGAGCGAACAGGAUUAGAUACCCUGGUAGUCCCAGCCGUAAACGAUGGACGCUAGGUGUGGGGGGACCAUCCCCCCGUGCCGCAGCCAACGCAUUAAGCGUCCCGCCUGGGGAGUACGGCCGCAAGGCUAAAACUCAAAGGAAUUGACGGGGGCCCGCACAAGCGGUGGAGUAUGUGGUUUAAUUCGACGCAACGCGAAGAACCUUACCAGGUCUUGACAUUGAUCGCGAUCUGCAGAAAUGCGGAGUUCUUCUUCGGAAGACGAGAAAACAGGUGGUGCACGGCUGUCGUCAGCUCGUGUCGUGAGAUGUUGGGUUAAGUCCCGCAACGAGCGCAACCCCCGUCCCGUGUUGCCAGCAUUCAGUUGGGGACUCGCGGGAGACUGCCGGCGUCAAGCCGGAGGAAGGUGGGGACGACGUCAAGUCAUCAUGCCCCUUAUGCCCUGGGCUGCACACGUGCUACAAUGGCCGGUACAGAGGGUUGCCACCCCGCGAGGGGGAGCGGAUCCCGGAAAGCCGGUCCCAGUUCGGAUCGCAGGCUGCAACCCGCCUGCGUGAAGUCGGAGUUGCUAGUAAUCGCGGAUCAGCAUGCCGCGGUGAAUACGUUCCCGGGCCUUGUACACACCGCCCGUCACACCACCCGAGUCGUCUGCACCCGAAGCCGCCGGCCGAACCCUUCUGGGGCGGAGGCGUCGAAGGUGUGGAGGGUAAGGGGGGUG